AAGUGUGUUACGUAACAAAGCAUUUUUAAAUGUGAUUCCUUUAAUAAAAUUAGGUUCUCUCCUAAAAAUCUUUGUAUUUUAUUAGGAUGUCGAAAAUUAUUUUCAGCGUUUUCAUAUUCUAUCAUACAU